AUUGAACGCUGGCGGCAGGCCUAACACAUGCAAGUCGAACGAGUGGCGGACGGGUGAGUAAUGUCUGGGAAACUGCCCGAUGGAGGGGGGUAACUACUGGAAACGGUAGCUAAUACCGCAUACCAUCGGAUUUGCCCAGACGGGAUUAGCUAGUAGGUGGGGUAACGGCUCACCUAGGCGACGAUCCCUAGCUGGACUGAGAGGAUGACGAGCCACACGGGAACUGAGACACGGACCAGACUCCUACGGGAGGCAGCAGUGGGGAAGAUUGCACAAUGGGCGCAAGCCUGAUGCAGCCAUGCCGCGGGUAUGAAGAAGGCCUGCGGGUUGUAAAGUACUUUCAGCAAGGAGGCGUUAAUCGCAGAAGAAGCACCGGCUAACUCCGUGCCAGCAGCCGCGGUAAUUC
rnacentral:rRNA from 1 species